AUUGAACGCUGGCGGCAGGCCUAACACAUGCAAGUCGAGCGGCAGCGGAAAGUAGCUUGCUACUUUGCCGGCGAGCGGCGGACGGGUGAGUAAUGUCUGGGAAACUGCCUGAUGGAGGGGGAUAACUACUGGAAACGGUAGCUAAUACCGCAUGACCUCGAAAGAGCAAAGUGGGGGAUCUUCGGACCUCACGCCAUCGGAUGUGCCCAGAUGGGAUUAGCUAGUAGGUGAGGUAAUGGCUCACCUAGGCGACGAUCCCUAGCUGGUCUGAGAGGAUGACCAGCCACACUGGAACUGAGACACGGUCCAGACUCCUACGGGAGGCAGCAGUGGGGAAUAUUGCACAAUGGGCGCAAGCCUGAUGCAGCCAUGCCGCGUGUGUGAAGAAGGCCUUAGGGUUGUAAAGCACUUUCAGCGAGGAGGAAGGCAUCAUACUUAAUACGUGUGGUGAUUGACGUUACUCGCAGAAGAAGCACCGGCUAACUCCGUGUCAGCAGCCGCGGUAAUACGGAGGGUGCAAGCGUUAAUCGGAAUUACUGGGCGUAAAGCGCACGCAGGCGGUUUGUUAAGUCAGAUGUGAAAUCCCCGCGCUUAACGUGGGAACUGCAUUUGAAACUGGCAAGCUAGAGUCUUGUAGAGGGGGGUAGAAUUCCAGGUGUAGCGGUGAAAUGCGUAGAGAUCUGGAGGAAUACCGGUGGCGAAGGCGGCCCCCUGGACAAAGACUGACGCUCAGGUGCGAAAGCGUGGGGAGCAAACAGG
rnacentral:rRNA from 1 species